rnacentral:rRNA from 1 species
UAAGGAAUAUUGGUCAAUGGACGCAAGUCUGAACCAGCCAUGCCGCGUGGAGGAUGAAGGUCCUCUGGAUUGUAAACUUCUUUUAUUUGGGAAGAAAUGCAUUUUUUCUAAAGUGCUUGACGGUACCAGAUGAAUAAGCACCGGCUAACUCCGUGCCAGCAGCCGCGGUAAUACGGAGGGUGCAAGCGUUAUCCGGAUUUACUGGGUUUAAAGGGUGCGCAGGCGGAUAUGUAAGUCAGUGGUGAAAUCUUUGGGCUUAACCCAAAAAUUGCCAUUGAUACUAUAUAUCUUGAAUGCUGUGGAGGUAAGCGGAAUAUGUCAUGUAGCGGUGAAAUGCUUAGAGAUGACAUAGAACACCUAUUGCGAAGGCAGCUUACUACGCAGAGAUUGACGCUCAUGCACGAAAGCGUGGGGAUCAAACA